rnacentral:rRNA from 1 species
AGCGCAGGCGGCUAAAUCAGUCUGAAGUGCAAGCCCGGGGCUCAACCCCGGAAUCGCUUUGGAUACUGUUUGGCUUGAGUAUGUCAGAGGUGAGCGGAAUUCCAGGUGUAGCGGUGAAAUGCGUAGAUAUCUGGAGGAACAUCCGUGGCGAAGGCGGCUCACUGGGACAACACUGACGCUGAGGCUCGAAAGCGUGGGGAGCGAACGGGAUUAGAUACCCCGGUAGUCCACGCUGUAAACGUUGUGCACUAGGUGUGAGGAGUGUCUACCCUCUUCGUGCCGUAGCUAACGCAUUAAGUGCACCGCCUGGGGAGUACGGUCGCAAGACUGAA